GCGUGAGCUUAAAGCGCGCGGGUCGGAGUUGGUCGCGCUCUCAUCGCUGGCAGGGUUCGCUUUCAGCUUGCUCGGGACUGAAGUGCUCAUGACGGAGGUAUAAGGAGAGAAAAUCUGUUCCGGGUGAGCCUAGGCCGUUCCGGAAAUGCGAUGGCUGUGGCGCUAGCCCCGGAGGGCUGACUGGGGGGAUCACUGCAGGGGGUGCAAUCCGCGUGUGAGCUGUCUUCGCCUGGACCUAGUCGAGCCAGCAUCUCCAAAACGUUGAGCCUAACCUCGCUUAAUAAGACAUUUGUCUCGUGAGUGAAGGUCCAAGAUCAAGCACGGGCGGGAAACUGAGGCAGGCACUCGGCAGGCGCAUCAGCUGCGUGGGAAUCCGUUAUGCAUACGUCAUGCCCAUAUAGCGUAGGUCUUUUCCUGACCCGUUCCUCUCCGUUCAGAACUCGGGUCUACAACCGUUCCCCCGUGCUUGCCUUCUUCCCUUCUCCCUCCCUCUCCCCCGGAGGAAAUUAGUUUUAUUUUUCUUAAUCAUGUUUGUGCUGGCUCUCCUGCACUGGUUCAGUCGUGAUUUUUUCGCACGCAGACAUGCCACUUUCAUGUUUGCUUUCACCCUUGUUCCUGUACCUUUAACCCCGAUCGAUUGUUAAUAUUGGCGCUUGGGGGAACACGGCGGGUUAUCUAUACACAAGGUAUUGAGUCCGUAGAGAAUAUCACAGUCAAUUCACAACUCUUUGACUGGCAGUUUAGAAUGUCCUAGAAGGUCGGUGCCUUGGCUUCUAUUGUAAGCUCAGCUGUUACUUGUGACCUUGGUCGAUCUAAUCACACAACCUCUAUAAGCCAGUUUCUGUUGUAGAGAGAAUUAGAUAAGUUAUAAUUAGAUAAGGCCCCCGCUUCUCAGCUCUCUAAGCCUUUGAUCUCUCAAACUUAUCCAAUAAGCAUGGGAUAGUUGAUCCUUUCUAAAGGUUUAAACAAAGGAGUAAAACUGUUUAAUGUGUCCAGUUUACAGGCAGUUCAAGCUUAGGCUAUAUUUUGGAUGAGUCCAAAGUAAUUCUUUUUGUUCUUGGUAAGAUGUAAACUGAACACUAAGUGUGCUUUUGGGGUGCUGUUUCAGUGCUUCUUGAAGUUCAAUAAAUGGUGUGUGGAAUUUUUGAAAAGAUUUAUUUUCUUUAGGUUGAGUUUCAAACCAACCUAGGUUCUUUUAACUGAGAUAAAGAGCUUUGGAUACCAAGAGUGAAAAUGGCAUACUCCAUGUCAGCACCCUGUCAACCAAAGGCAUGACAACUCAGGAACACACAUGGACUUGUUGCACACAGAAAUGUGUGCACAGGAAGAGGAGAUCUCUAGUUCUUUAGAAAAAAGAAAGCAUUCUUCACCAAAAUGGGCACAUUCUGCUCAGUAAUCAAGUUUGAAAAUCUUCAAGACUUAAAGAGACUGUGUCACUGGGGUCCCAUCAUAGCCCUCGGUGUUAUAGCAAUAUGUUCUACAAUGGCCAUGAUUGACUCCAUCCUGUGGUAUUGGCCCUUACAUACAACUGGAGGAAGUGUGAAUUUCAUCAUGUUGAUAAACUGGACUGUCAUGAUUCUUUAUAAUUACUUCAAUGCCAUGUUUGCUGGUCCUGGCUUUGUCCCUCGGGGAUGGAAACCGGAAAAUUCUCAGGAUAGCAUGUAUCUCCAGUACUGUAAAGUCUGCCAAGCAUACAAGGCACCACGUUCCCAUCACUGCAGAAAGUGCAACAGAUGUGUGAUGAAGAUGGACCACCACUGUCCCUGGAUCAACAACUGCUGUGGUCACCAGAACCAUGCUUCAUUCACACUGUUUCUCCUGUUAGUGCCUCUGGGCUGCAUCCAUGCUGCUUUCAUCUUUGUGAUGACCAUGUACACGCAGCUUUAUAAUCGGCUCUCCUUCGGGUGGAACACAGUCAAGAUUGACAUGAGUGCAGCCAGGAGAGACCCUCUUCCAAUUGUUCCCUUCGGAUUGGCUGCAUUUGCUGCCACCUUGUUUGCCUUGGGAUUAGCUUUGGGAACAACCAUAGCUGUUGGGAUGUUGUUUUUCAUACAGAUAAAAAUUAUUCUCAGAAACAAAACUUCUAUUGAAUCAUGGAUUGAAGAGAAGGCUAAAGAUCGAAUUCAGUAUUACCAACUGGAUGAAGUCUUCAUUUUCCCAUAUGAUAUGGGAAGUAAAUGGAAGAACUUUAAACAGGUAUUUACAUGGUCAGGAGUCCCUGAAGGAGACGGACUGGAAUGGCCAGUGAGAGAGGGCUGUCACCAGUACAGUCUAACGGUAGAACAGUUGAAACAAAAAGCAGACAAGAGAGUCCGAAGUGUUCGCUAUAAAGUCAUAGAGGAUUACAGUGGUGCCUGCUGCCCUCUGAAUAGAGGAGUCAGAACCUUCCUCACAAGCCCCUGCACGGAGGAGCCUCGGAUCCAGCUGCAGAGAGGGGAGCUUAUCUUAGCCACCAGAGGCUUACGAUACUGGUUGUAUGGAGACAAAAUUCUUGAUGAUUCUUUCAUAGAAGGUACAUCAAGAAUAAGAGGGUGGUUUCCUAGAAACUGUGUGGAAAAGUGUCCCUGUGAUGGCGAAUCAGAACCAGCCCCAGAAGGCGAGAAGAAGACCAGAUAGCCACUGUUAAAGUGAGGCCAUUAAGUCUUCAUUACUUGAAAAUUCACACAUAUUACCUAAGAAUUAUGCAACAAGCUACUCCGCUUAAGGAAAGCUGUUCCAGCCAACUGAGCAAAUUGUACUUUCUGUAGGAUUCCUGUGUGCUGCACACCUGACUUCACCUGCAGGUCUAGUUCCCCUUGGCCAGGAGCAUCUGCAUGUGGUUAUUCUGUUUCUUCCUCAGUUGACAUUUCUUUCACAAGAUUCUAGAGACUAUACAACUUGUUAGAUUCAAUAUAAACUCAAAUUUUGUUACUUUUAAUAAUGCAGAUUUUGUCGAAUCCAAUAAAAGUCAAUGGAUGUUCUGUAAAAA